GCCAAAUGCGAAAUGGUAAAUGGUAAAUGGGAAAUGCGGAGAACCCGUCUUGGAUCGUGUGUGUGCCAGCUAAUUAAGCCGCCAACAAGCUAAUUAUAAGUCGCGUCUGGCACUCUAAUUGCAAUUUAAAUAAAUGUGGCAGGCGGUCGGGCCACUUUGGCCAACCAGUUUGGCCAACCAUUUGGCCAAAAAGGAGCGUUUUAAAUUUCAAUUUGUACAAGUCAGCGCGUUGUCAAUGCA
rnacentral:sRNA from 1 species